UACGUAGGGUGCGAGCGUUGUCCGGAAUUAUUGGGCGUAAAGAGCUCGUAGGCGGCCUGUUGCGUCCGCUGUGAAAUCCCGGGGCUCAACCCCGGGCCUGCAGUGGAUACGGGCUGGCUAGAGGCAGGCAGGGGAGAACGGAAUUCCUGGUGUAGCGGUGAAAUGACGCAGAUAUCAGGAGGAACACCGGUGGCGAAGGCAGCCCCCUGGGUCAAGACUGACGCUCAUGCACGAAAGCGUGGGGAGCAAACAGG
rnacentral:rRNA from 1 species